rnacentral:rRNA from 1 species
GCGCACCAGGCGCGAAUACUUUACAAUGUGCGAAAGCACGAUAAGGGAACUCUGAGUGCCUCCUAAGGAGGCUGUUCUGAUGUCUAAAAAGCAACAGAAGUAAGGGCUGGGUAAGACCGGUGCCAGCCGCCGCGGUAACACCGGCAGCCCAAGUGGUAGCCACGUUUAUUGGGUCUAAAGCGUUCGUAGCCGGCCAGGUAAGUUCCUUGGUAAAUUUAGCCGCUUAACGGUUAAGCUUUCAGGGAAUACUGCUUGGCUUGGGACUGGGAGAGGUCAGAGGUACUCCGGGGGUAGGGUGAAAUCUAUUAAUCCCUGGGGGACCACCGGUAGCGAAGGCGUCUGACCAGACCAGGUCCGACGGUGAGGGACGAAGGCUAGGGGCGCGAACCGGAUUAGAUACCCGCGUAGU